rnacentral:rRNA from 1 species
GGGCACCAKURGGGAUUUUUCSCCAAUGGMGGCAAUYCUGAGGRAGCAACSCCSGUUGASUGAGAAAGGUUUUGGGUUGKUAAAAUUUGUUUUCGRGGGAAGAAAAGKUCCSGAGUAACUACCGGUACCUUGACGGUACCUGACCAGAAAGCCACGGCUAACUACGUGCCAGCAGCCGCGGUAAUACGUAGGUGGCAAGCGUUGUCCGGAAUUAUUGGGCGUAAAGCGCGCGCAGGCGGUUCCUUAAGUCUGAUGUGAAAGCCCCCGGCUCAACCGGGGAGGGUCAUUGGAAACUGGGGAACUUGAGUGCAGAAGAGGAGAGCGGAAUUCCACGUGUAGCGGUGAAAUGCGUAGAGAUGUGGAGGAACACCAGUGGCGAAGGCGGCUUUCUGGUCUGUAACUGACGCUGAGGCGCGAAAGCGUGGGGAGCRAACAGGAUUAGAUACCCUGGUAGUCCACGCCGUAAACGAUGAGUGCUAAGUGUUAGGGGGUUUCCGCCCUUUAGUGCUGCAGCAAACGCAUUAAGCACUCCGCCUG